rnacentral:lncRNA from 1 species
ACCAAUUUAUGCAAAUUAUGUUUUUAAUUGUUUUUAAAGUAUAUAUUUCUAUUGGCCUUUGGAUCAGAUAAGUGUCCUGAAGAACCUGGAGAAAGGGCAAGUACUUGUGUUUUAAUACUCUUUGUGCAAACUUUAGUGCAUUGGAGAGGAUGCAGAGAGGUAGAAUACAUGCUGACUGGGAUGUAGAUUGCUUCAGUAUUCCCUAUUGUGCAGUGUGUCAGCUCUAAAAUGCUGUAUUUUGUAGGAUCCAUUUAACAAACAAAAGCCAGUUCCUGAAUGACAUCAUCCUGCAGGAAGUGACAUCAUUUUGAAGGGAAAACAACAGUAUGAAUAUCAUAAGUAAGGGGGCGUUUGACACCAGUGUAGGUGAAGAACUCUCCCUGCUGUGCUCCAUUUGGUGCCGUCCUUCACCUCGGCCACUGACCGGACGGCCAUCGACCCGCACAGCUCCUCACAGACGGCCAACAAAUGCUGCCACAAAUGGAUCUAAUUGGCACCUCUGCAUGCCCCGUCCAGAGGAGGGCAGAGAUCAGGAUCUUCUCCGAAGACUACUCCUCCUUCUUCCUCUCUCUAAGGAUUGUUCCCGAAGACUCCUCCAAGCCCCUACGGUGCGUGUGUGUGUGUUCACCUCCAUCUGCUUGUGUCUUUAAAUAAACAUUUACUUCAUCUGUUACUCCUCUGU